GGCCUGAUGGUCUAGUAGUAUGAUUCCUUGUUAGGGUUUCGACUGAAGCUAUUUCGAGGAGGUCCCGGGUUCAAUUCCCGGUCAGGCCC